AUCAUUCGAUCUAUCGUACAAAGAAGAAUAGUUUUAAUUUAUCACUAAUUAAAAUAAUUCAUUUAUAUUUGAAUUGGCAAGAAAAUGUCAACAAAUUCGGCUGCCCCUAAAGACUGUCUUUCGUGCAGAAUUGUCUGCGGUAUUAGUUUGAUCUGUGGAGGCCUAUUUGUAGGUUACCAAGGCCACCGAUUUAAAGGUUAUAAUCGAGCAGGGAUGUUUGCAAUUGCUACACUUACUGCAAGCUUUGGACUUGUUCAAACAAUUGAUCCUCAGGGAAAUUUGUAUGGCAGGUUCCGAUCAUCUUAGCACAUCUUAUGUCUAGGAUAUUUGACAAUGGUAUUUGCAUCCAGAAGAGCAAGAACCAUAACAUAAGUUUUAACCACUUGACGCAGCUGAUAGCCCGAGACGAUUUUAUUGAACACGGUCACCGUGAAAUCUCAAGAUCAUACAUAAGUAUUUCAUUAUUAUAUAAUUACAUUUCAACCAUACAAAUACUAAGAUACUAUAAUCUCAUUUGCCAACUUUCCCAAGCUUUGUAUCUGUCUUGGGAUUUGCUGUCACACUUUGUACUGCCACAAUACACUCAUUAAUACGGGUCUGCAAGUCUCGAAGGUUCUGAAUGUAUAGAAGGCGCAGGAUCUUUGCUGCCUGAUUCAACACAUAAUCUCCAGUGUCAAACCCUAGGUCAGCCUCUUGAAAUGGAAAUGGUUUGCCCUGUAACAGAGAAGAACUAUUACUACUACUCAGUGGCACUACAGCCCUUGUGUAGGGCCUUGACCUUCCCAACAGAGAACGUAACUAAAAAAUGAAUACUAGAAAUUCUACUUGUCACUAUAAAUUAGUGUCUCUUAUUCAAGGGAGUAGCUUUGCUCAUGCUGCACGAACCACAUAAACAGUGGUCUUAUUGCUGACAGACAUCACACAUGCACUAUUAAUCUGUGGCUGUAGGAUGCUCUUCCUCUUCAUGGCUAGAUAUCUGUUUUCAGAAUAACAUUUUGUGACUAAGAUGAUACAUUUUAUAUUAAAAUUAACACAGAUAGCAUAACGGGGUUUUGUUUCCUUUAUUAAAUGUGACAUCUUGCAGCAUGAAGUUAUAAGAUGUGCAGACUUGUGCAUAUUGAAUGUGUUUCCUGUAGUAAUCUGGAAGUUAUUUGCUACCUUUCAACAGACUGAAUAAAUAACCAAUGAACCAAUGAA